AAAAAAAUAAAUAUAGGGAAUACAUACAAAGUGUAAGACGACUAACGAUCUAAAUUUGUGUGCUCAAAAUAAAUUUCCUGGCUCCAUCCCUGCGUAAAAGGAUGAAAGAGACACAAUGUGUAGGAAGCUAUAACAUCAUUCGUCUUUCUAAUGCUGCGUGCAGAUUAUAUUUACGUGAUCAAAUAUGCUGUGAGAGAGAAGGAAAGACGUGGGAUGGUGGUUUUUCAUUUUCCAAGCCUCAAAAUUGUAUAUGAGGAUGAGGCGAACCCAACAAUCGAAACCUUGUCUUUAGACCAUUUGGGCAUGCACGGAUAUUCAAAAGUCUUUAGGUGUUCUAGUUUUUUGUGUGCAUAUUCUGUUUGUCCGGAUUUGUAUAGAAAUUGUUUGAGCAAGGAGAGAUAUAAUUCGUAAAAUGGACAUGCGUCUUUUACAAA